AGAAGCCGAAGAUGGCGCUGUGAGAACAACCCAGGAUUGGAGCUCUCUUUGAGUCCGUGGAGAGAGACAAGGUCUUACUUCAUCACCCAGCUUGGAGUUCAGUGGCAUAAUUGCAGCUCACUGCAACCUUCACCUUCCAGGUUCAAGUGGUCUUCCCACCUCAGGCUCCCAAAUAUCUGGGACCACAGGUAUGUACCACUAUGCCCUGCUAUAGAGAUGAAAUCUUACUAUGCUUCUCAGGCUGGUCUCAAACUCCCAGGUUCAAGCCGUCCUCCUGUCUUGGCCUCCCAAAGUGCUGGGAUUAGAGGUGUGAGCCAUUGCAAUCAACCUUCAAUUCCUUUUUAUUUCAUCUUCUAA
ensembl:lncRNA